AUUGAACGCUGGCGGCAUGCCUUACACAUGCAAGUCGAACGGUAACAGGUCCUCGGAUGCUGACGAGUGGCGAACGGGUGAGUAAUACAUCGGAACGUGCCUAGUAGUGGGGGAUAACUACUCGAAAGAGUGGCUAAUACCGCAUGAGAUCUACGGAUGAAAGCAGGGGAUCGCAAGACCUUGUGCUACUAGAGCGGCCGAUGGCAGAUUAGGUAGUUGGUGGGAUAAAAGCUUACCAAGCCGACGAUCUGUAGCUGGUCUGAGAGGACGAUCAGCCACACUGGGACUGAGACACGGCCCAGACUCCUACGGGAGGCAGCAGUGGGGAAUUUUGGACAAUGGGCGAAAGCCUGAUACAGCAAUGCCGCGUGCAGGAUGAAGGCCUUCGGGUUGUAAACUGCUUUUGUACGGAACGAAAAGCCCCGGGUUAAUACCCUGGGGUCAUGACGGUACCGUAAGAAUAAGCACCGGCUAACUACGUGCCAGCUGCCGCCGUAA
rnacentral:rRNA from 1 species